rnacentral:rRNA from 1 species
UACAGAGGGGGCAAGCGUUGUUCGGAAUUACUGGGCGUAAAGGGUGCGUAGGUCGGCCUAUUAAGUCAGGGGUGAAAGACGGUGGCUCAACCAUCGCAGUGCCUUUGAUACUGAUAGGCUUGAAUACACUAGAGGUAGGCGGAAUGUGACAAGUAGCGGUGAAAAUGCAUAGAUAUGUCACAGAACACCGAUUGCGAAGGCAGCUUACUAUGGUGUCAUUGACGCUGGGGCACGAAAAGCGUGGGGAUCAAAACAGG